GCCUCGGUGGUGUAGUAGUAAAGCACGCGUCCCCGCAUAGAAUGAAACGCGGGUUGGAUCCCGCCUGAGGCC